CCCAGACUCCUACGGGAGGCAGCAGUGGGGGAUAUUGCACAAUGGGGGGAACCCUGAUGCAGCGACGCCGCGUGGGUGAAGGAGUAUUUCGGUAUGUAAAGCCCUAUCGGCAGGGAAGAAGCAAGACGGUGCCUGACUAAGAAGCCCCGGCUAACUACGUGCCAGCAGCCGCGGUAAUACGUAGGGGGCGAGCGUUAUCCGGAUUCACUGGGUGUAAAGGGAGCGUAGACGGCCAAGCAAGCCAGGGGUGAAAGCCCGGGGCCCAACCCCGGGACUGCCCUUGGAACUGCUUGGCUGGAGUGCGGGAGGGGCAGGCGGAAUUCCUGGUGUAGCGGUGAAAUGCGUAGAUAUCAGGAGGAACACCGGUGGCGAAGGCGGCCUGCUGGACUGCGACUGACGUUGAGGCCCGAAAGCGUGGGGAGCAAACAGGAUUAGAUACCCUUGUAU
rnacentral:rRNA from 1 species